rnacentral:sRNA from 1 species
GUAACACAGAGAACCUUCAUGGGGUCAGG